rnacentral:rRNA from 1 species
GAUGAACGCUGGCUGUGUGCCUAAUACAUGCAAGUCGAACGAAGUCUUCGGACUUAGUGGCGGACGGGUGAGUAACGCGUGAGAAUCUGCCUCGAGGAUGGGGACAACAGUUGGAAACGACUGCUAAUACCCAAUAUGGCGAAAGCUGUAAAUUUUUUAGCCUUGAGAGGAGCUCGCGUCCGAUUAGUUAGUUGGUGGUGUAAGAGACUACCAAGGCAGCGAUCGGUAGCUGGUCUGAGAGGAUGAGCAGCCACACUGGGACUGAGACACGGCCCAGACUCCUACGGGAGGCAGCAGUGGGGAAUUUUCCGCAAUGGGCGAAAGCCUGACGGAGCAAUACCGCGUGAGGGAGGAAGGUUUUUGGAUUGUAAACCUCUUUUUUAAAGGAAGAAGAAAGUGACGGUACUUUAAGAAUAAGCAUCGGCUAACUCCGUGCCAGCAGCCGCAGUAAU